CUUGAAAAGGAGAAGAAAGUUUCUUCCUCAAGUGAUUUAUAACUUGAAACAUGCUGUCAUGUUUUGCCUCUGCAAUCCCAGAUAAUGGAAGAAGGUCCUGUCUAAAGCUCAAAGUCUUUGUGAGACCGACAAAUAGCUGUAUGAAAACUAUAGGUGUUCAUGAUCGUGUUUUCGAUGUUAACGACAAAGUAGAAAAUUCAUUAGAACCAGCAGAUGACACCGUACAUGAGUCAGCCGAGCCAUCCCGCGGCGAGAACGCGGCACAAACACCAAGGAUACCCAGCCGCCUUUUGGCAAUCCUACUGUUCCUCCUGGCGAUGCUUUUGACAUUAUAGCACAGUCUCCUCCCGUCACUUGUCACAGAAAACAUCAGGGUCUUGGAACACCAGAGAUCCACCUAACUGCUCAUCCUAAGAAGGGACUUGUUAUUGGGUUUUGGCAGAUGUCAGAUUUUUGUUUUCUUUCUUUCAGCCUGAAUUCUAAGCAACAACUUCGGGCUGGGGGCCUAAACUCGUUCCUCCCUCCCUCACCCCACCCCACCCCCAGCCCUGGCCCUUGACUUCUCUCACCCCUCCCAAAUUAAAUGGACUCCAGAUGAAAA
rnacentral:sRNA from 1 species